GAAUGUGGCCGUUUUAGAGGCUUUUGGCAUCGAAUCUCUCACCUCUGCAUCGGUUCUAAUCAAUUUUCUCGCUUAGCUCUUCUCCCCUCUCCCUCUAAAACGGCCACAUUCAAGAUGGGUUUUUAGCAUCUGCUUUCCCCCCUUAAUGAUGGACCACAAUAACUUUACUAUAAAGACUUACAUGGCCAUCAUGGCUGAGAGGGAUGCUGCCAUCCGUGAACGGAAUAUGGCACUAGAGGAGAGAAAGAGAGCUUUUGCAGAGCGAGACAUGGCAAUGCUUCAGAGAGAUGCAGCACUUGCAGAGCGUAAUGCUUUGAUUCAAGAGAGGAACGAUGCCAUUGCUGCUCUUCGAUUGCAGGACAGCUCUACAAAUGACAACAAUAUGGUUCCAGAUUCACCAGGAAAUGGAACUGAAAGUGGUGCAAAGCACAUUUAUAACCAACAGCAAAUGUAUAGAACCACAGCUGAUGCUGCUCAUGGUUCAACGGAAGAUCCCGCAGCUGGCUACUUGAAAGACACAGAUACUUCUGAAGCAAAGAUUCCUAAAAAGGUCAAGCGACCUAAAGAGAGCAGACACAAUAAGCAAGCUAAGAUUCCAAGAGUGGGUAAAAUUAGCACAGACAGUUUAAGCAUGCAGGUCAUAGCCACAACAUCAGAUGAUUGGGUAAAUCUGCAAGAGAUGGAUAGUGACAAGGAAGGAGAUACACAGCUCACAUCAUGGAAAGAUAAUUUGGGGUUGAAAAUCAAUUUUGAUGACUCUGCUAUGCCAGUGCCUGUUUGCUCCUGUACUGGGACUCCACAGCCAUGCUAUAAAUGGGGUCAUGGUGGGUGGCAGUCAGCUUGCUGCACAACUACCAUAUCUAUGUAUCCAUUACCUCAAAUAUCAAACAAACGCUAUUCCCGUGUGGGUGGAAGAAAGAUGA
rnacentral:misc_RNA from 1 species